UGGGGAAUAUUGGUCAAUGGGCGUAAGCCUGAACCAGCAAUGCCGCGUGAGUGAUGAAGGCCUUCGGGUUGUAAAGCUCUGUCGGGAGGGACGAAAAAGCGGGUUAACACUCCGCAUUGACGGUACCUCCAAAGGAAGCACCGGCUAACUCUGUGCCAGCAGCCGCGGUAAUACAGAGGGUGCAAGCGUUGUUCGGAAUUACUGGGCGUAAAGCGCGUGUAGGUGGCGAUGUAAGUCGGGUGUGAAAUCCCUUGGCUUAACCAAGGAAGUGCACUCGAUACUGCGUUGCUUGAGUAUCGGAGGGGAUGGCGGAAUUCCCGGUGUAGAGGUGAAAUUCGUAGAUAUCGGGAGGAACACCUGUGGCGAAGGCGGCCAUCUGGACGAUCACUGACACUGAGACGCGAAAGCGUGGGUAGCAAACAGG
rnacentral:rRNA from 1 species